UACGUAGGGGGCAAGCGUUGUCCGGAAUCAUUGGGCGUAAAGCGCGUGUAGGCGGCCCGGUAAGUCCGCUGUGAAAGUCGGGGGCUCAACCCUCGAAUGCCGGUGGAUACUGUCGGGCUAGAGUCCGGAAGAGGAGAGUGGAAUUCCUGGUGUAGCGGUGAAAUGCGCAGAUAUCAGGAAGAACACCCGUGGCGAAAGCGGCUCUCUGGGACGGUACUGACGCUGAGACGCGAAAGCGUGGGGAGCGAACAGG
rnacentral:rRNA from 1 species